UUUGGAACCAACUGAGAGAUAAACACAGCUGUUGGAUGGAGAACAAAAAUGUUAGUUUCAUUACCAAGGACGGCUGGAUUGGAAGCUAUGACUUAGGGGUGUGGCCAUGUGGACAUCCUGAAACAACCCCAGACUUUGAAAUACUCUCCUGGCCACAAGCACAGCUGGGCAGGGAUAGUCUACUGCUGCCUCCUCCUCAGGGGAGAUCAGAGAGGGUAGCUUCUCGAGGCUGAGCUGCUUCAUGGGGGCUGAGCUCAGUUCCUUCAUCUACUCGCCGAUCAUCAGUGAACACAAAGCAUGUGGAGGAUGUGUUGUUGUUCUAACAGUUGUGACGGGACUCCACAAGGACGGCCCCAAAGGCCAGGGGAGGGAGUCAGGAGCGGUGAGAUCCAAUCAGACUGCUCACGGUCCCUGCGUGCACAGAGCCCUCCCACCCCUCUCCAACAGCGCCUAUGCCCUUGGUUCCUGGCCCUGUGCUUCUCCCUCCUUUGCUCCUGCCGCCACUUCCCGGCCAGUACUGCUUUUGGCCCAGGCCAGUGCAGUCCAGCCGGAGCUCCUCUGGGACAAGCCUGUCCUGACCACUGCCCCUCCACACGAGGACGCCUUUCCUGGCCACGCUCCAGCUCUUCCUCUGCCUUGCUUUCUCCAAAGCAUGCUUAUAGCUGACAUUCCACUAUCUGUUUUGUGGCUAAAGGAGGAGGGGGCAUCUCUUCACUCCUUUAUUUCUUGUCUCUCCCCCCAGAAUUGUGCUGCCCCCUGUGGCAGCCACCAGCCAUGCAUGGUUCUUUGA
rnacentral:lncRNA from 1 species